rnacentral:rRNA from 3 species
GAUGAACGCCGGCGGUGUGCCUAAUACAUGCAAGUCGUACGCACUGGCCCAACUGAUUGAUGGUGCUUGCACCUGAUUGACGAUGGAUCACCAGUGAGUGGCGGACGGGUGAGUAACACGUAGGUAACCUGCCCCGGAGCGGGGGAUAACAUUUGGAAACAGAUGCUAAUACCGCAUAACAACAAAAGCCACAUGGCUUUUGUUUGAAAGAUGGCUUUGGCUAUCACUCUGGGAUGGACCUGCGGUGCAUUAGCUAGUUGGUAAGGUAACGGCUUACCAAGGCGAUGAUGCAUAGCCGAGUUGAGAGACUGAUCGGCCACAAUGGAACUGAGACACGGUCCAUACUCCUACGGGAGGCAGCAGUAGGGAAUCUUCCACAAUGGGCGCAAGCCUGAUGGAGCAACACCGCGUGAGUGAAGAAGGGUUUCGGCUCGUAAAGCUCUGUUGUUGGAGAAGAACGUGCGUGAGAGUAACUGUUCACGCAGUGACGGUAUCCAACCAGAAAGUCACGGCUAACUACGUGCCAGCAGCCGCGGUAAUACGUAGGUGGCAAGCGUUAUCCGGAUUUAUUGGGCGUAAAGCGAGCGCAGGCGGUUGCUUAGGUCUGAUGUGAAAGCCUUCGGCUUAACCGAAGAAGUGCAUCGGAAACCGGGCGACUUGAGUGCAGAAGAGGACAGUGGAACUCCAUGUGUAGCGGUGGAAUGCGUAGAUAUAUGGAAGAACACCAGUGGCGAAGGCGGCUGUCUGGUCUGCAACUGACGCUGAGGCUCGAAAGCAUGGGUAGCGAACAGGAUUAGAUACCCUGGUAGUCCAUGCCGUAAACGAUGAGUGCUAGGUGUUGGAGGGUUUCCGCCCUUCAGUGCCGGAGCUAACGCAUUAAGCACUCCGCCUGGGGAGUACGACCGCAAGGUUGAAACUCAAAGGAAUUGACGGGGGCCCGCACAAGCGGUGGAGCAUGUGGUUUAAUUCGAAGCUACGCGAAGAACCUUACCAGGUCUUGACAUCUUGCGCUAACCUUAGAGAUAAGGCGUUCCCUUCGGGGACGCAAUGACAGGUGGUGCAUGGUCGUCGUCAGCUCGUGUCGUGAGAUGUUGGGUUAAGUCCCGCAACGAGCGCAACCCUUGUUACUAGUUGCCAGCAUUAAGUUGGGCACUCUAGUGAGACUGCCGGUGACAAACCGGAGGAAGGUGGGGACGACGUCAGAUCAUCAUGCCCCUUAUGACCUGGGCUACACACGUGCUACAAUGGACGGUACAACGAGUCGCAAGCUCGCGAGAGUAAGCUAAUCUCUUAAAGCCGUUCUCAGUUCGGACUGUAGGCUGCAACUCGCCUACACGAAGUCGGAAUCGCUAGUAAUCGCGGAUCAGCAUGCCGCGGUGAAUACGUUCCCGGGCCUUGUACACACCGCCCGUCACACCAUGGGAGUUUGUAACGCCCAAAGUCGGUGGCCUAACCUUUAUGGAGGGAGCCGCCUAAGGCGGGACAGAUGACUGGGGUG